rnacentral:rRNA from 1 species
AAGGGCACCACAAGAACGCGUGGAGCAUGUGGCUUAAUUUGACUCAACGCGGGGAAUCUUACCGGGUCCGGACACACUGAGGAUUGACAGGCGCAAGGAGCUUCGGCUCUGUAAAUUUGCUAGUCCUUUCAUGAUUGUGUGAUAGGUGGUGCAUGGCCGUUCUUAGUUCGUGGAAUAAUCUGUCUGCUUAAUUGCGUUUUUUCAAUAGUGUCCUGAUGCUCAUUAAGCUUCUUGUCUGUUCAUGUCACAUUGCUCUUUUUGGGCGUGUGCGUGGCAGCUUGAGGUGAGUUGUCAGGGCCUUCUGAAACGAACGAGACCCCAACCCUUCUUUUUCAAUGUCAUACAGCAAUUCUAUUUGUUUGUAAUUUUUUUGGGCUUUGGUCUCUCCGGAGAUUCAAAGUUCAAAUUGUACGACGUUGUUAACAGAAGGGGACUGUUACAUCUCAAUGUAAAGGAAGGUUGGGGCAAUAACAGGUCUGUGAUGCCCUUAGAUGUUCCGGGCUGCACACGUGCUACAAUGAUCUAUGCACUAAGCAUCUUUUAGUUCCGCAACGGCUUCUGCCUUUUUGGUUGGAAUGCUGUGCGGCAUGCCUACUUCGAGAGCUAGUAGGUAAUCACUUGGUAAUAUAGAUUUCCUUUGCAGUUGUGGCAGUUUUGCUCUUGUAGUAUUUACUGUCGCAUUGUUUUCUAUUUAUGACUUCUUAGUGGGGACAGACCAUUGUUAAUUGUUGGUCUCGCUUUAACUAGGAAUGCCUUGUACAGGCGGUUCAACAGACCGCCUGGAAUACGUCCCUGCCCUUUGUACACACCGCCCGUCA